rnacentral:rRNA from 1 species
AGUCACUGACAUUAGAUACCCGCGUAGUCCAGGGUGUAAACGCUGCAGACUUGGUGUUGGAAGUCCUUUGGGGGCAUUCAGUGCCGGAGAGAAGUUGUUAAGUCUGCUACUUGGGAGUACGUCCGCAAGGCUGAAACUUAAAGGAAUUGGCGGGGAGCACCGCAACGGGAGGAGCGUGCGGUUUAAUUGGAUUCAACACCGUAAACUCACCAGGGAAGACUGUUACAUGAAGGCCGAGAUGAAGACUCUGCUAGAUUUUCAG